UUCCCUGUGGCUCAGCAGUAAAGAAUCUGCCUGCAAUGCAGGAGAUCCAGGUUUGAUUCCUGGGUCGGAAA
rnacentral:tRNA from 1 species